CAGUGACAGGUGCUGCAUGGCUGUCGUCAGCUCGUGUCGUGAGAUGUUCGGUUAAGUCCGGCAACGAGCGCAACCCACAUCCUUAGUUGCCAGCAGUUCGGCUGGGCACUCUAGGGAAACUGCCCGUGAUAAGCGGGAGGAAGGUGUGGAUGACGUCAAGUCCUCAUGGCCCUUACGGGUUGGGCUACACACGUGCUACAAUGGCAGUGACAAUGGGUUAAUCCCCAAAAACUGUCUCAGUUCGGAUUGUCGUCUGCAACUCGACGGCAUGAAGGUGGAAUCGCUAGUAAUCGUGGAUCAGCAUGCCACGGUGAAUACGUUCCCGGGCCUUGUACACACCGCCCGUCACAUCAUGGGAAUUGGUUCUACCCGAAGACG
rnacentral:rRNA from 1 species